rnacentral:lncRNA from 1 species
GAUAGUAAAUUUUGUAGAUUACACCGCUCAUAUGUUUUCCGUGGUUGUGGUAGAAACAGUUGGUAGCCUGAGGUGUUGUAGCUUGUCCCAGCCCGGUGGUUCAGAGUUUGUAGAUGAGUAGCAGCCCUAGGCCCUUAGCAUGUCCCAGAUGAUCUGUCUGUUCCGAGGCUUUGUCAGUGUGUGUAAAUCUGCCAGGUACAUGUUUUAAUUUUAUCAGAGCUCCUUCUUUGUACUCCCUCCGUUCUGAAAUAUAGGUCGUUGGGGACCUUGUUCCGACCAGGUGAAAAGCUGUGAAAUGACGUUAAUACCCUGGUUCUAGUCUUCUACCUCCGC